rnacentral:rRNA from 1 species
CAAAAACAUGUCUUUUUGAUUUUAAUUUAAAGUCUAAUCUGCUCCAUGAUUUAUUUAUUAAAUAGCUGCGGUAUAUUGACUGUACAAAGGUAGCAUAAUCAAUAGUUUUUUAAUUGAAAGCUGGAAUGAAUGAUUUGAUGAAAUAAUUUUUGUUUCAAUGUUAUAAAAAUUAAAAAUUUUUUUUUAGUUAAAAUUCUAAAAUAUUUUUAAAAGACGAGAAGACCCUAUAGAUUUUAAUAUAUUAAUUAUGAAUGAUAAUAUAUGUAAUUAAUAUAUUUAAUUGGGGAAAUUAUUAAAUUUAUAAAAUUUUAUUUUAUUUUUUACAUAUUUAUUAAUGAAUAUUUGAUCCUUAUUUUUAGAUUGUAAGAAUAAAAUACCUUAGGGAUAACAGCAUAAUUUUUUUAGAUAGUUCAUAUUGAUAAAAAAGUUUGUGACCUCGAUGUUGAAUUAAGAUAAAAUUUUAAUGAAGAAAUUAAAAAUUUUUGGUCUGUUCGACCAUUAAAAUCUUACGUGAUCUGA